AAAAAAACAUUACAUCAGCGUUCGGAAUACCUGCCUGCCUGGCCACCCCGGAUGGGUUAUUUUCAACACAGACUGCCAGAUUCUCAAAUCCAUCUGCCCGACCAUUGGGUUAAAAUUUAGACAUGUAUAUGA